rnacentral:rRNA from 1 species
UUCAACGGCCGCGGUAUCCUAACCGUGCAAAGGUAGCGUAAUCACUUGUCCCUUAAAUAGGGACCAGUAUGAACGGCUAAAUGAGGAUAAAUCUGUCUCCUUUAACAAAUCAGUGAAACUGAUCUACCAGUACAAAAGCUGGUAUAAACCCAUAAGACGAGAAGACCCUGUGGAGCUUUAAAUUUAAGCCAAGCAACAAAAACCAAAAACAGCUUAUGGCUAAAAAUUUUAAGUUGGGGCGACUUCGGAAAAAACCAAAACUUCCGAGCACAAGACUAUGUCUUACCAAGACCCACAAGUCAAAGCCAAACCUGACCCAGUACAACUGAUCAUCGAACCAAGUUACCCCAGGGAUAACAGCGCAAUCUUCUUCAAGAGUUCCUAUCGACAAGAAGGUUUACGACCUCGAUGUUGGAUCAGGACACCCAAAUGGUGCAGCCGCUAUUAAAGGUUC